UACCGGCACCCCGAGUGGUCGGGACGUUUUAUUGGGCCUAAAGCAUCCGUAGCCGGUUCUACAAGUCUUCCGUUAAAUCCAACUGCUUAACAGGUGGGCUGCGGAAGAUACUAUAGAGCUAGGAGGCGGGAAAGGCAAGCGGUACUCGAUGGGUAGGGGUAAAAUCCGUUGAUCCAUUGAAGACCACCAGUGGCGAAGGCGGCUUGCCAGAACGCGCUCGACGGUGAGGGAUGAAAGCUGGGGGAGCAAACCGG
rnacentral:rRNA from 1 species